UGGGCGUAAAGGGCUUCGCAGGCGGUUUUUUACAGUUCUGAAUGUUGAAAAGCCCCCCCGGCUUCAACCGGGGAGGGUCAUUUGGAAACUGGGGAAACUUUGAGUGCAGAAAGAGGAGAGUUGGAAUUUCCACGUGUAGCGGUGAAAUGCGUAGAGAUGUGGAGGAACACCAGUGGCGAAGGCGACUCUCUGGUCUGUAACUGACGCUGAGGAGCGAAAGCGUGGGGAGCGAACAGGAUUAGAUACCCUGGUAGUCCACGCCGUAAACGAUGAGUGCUAAGUGUUAGGGGGUUUCCGCCCCUUAGUGCUGCAGCUAACGCAUUAAGCACUCCGCCUGGGGAGUACGGUCGCAAGACUGAAACUCAAAGGAAUUGACGGGGGCCCGCACAAGCGGUGGAGCAUGUGGUUUAAUUCGAAGCAACGCGAAGAACCUUACCAGGUCUUGACAUCCUCUGACAAUCCUAGAGAUAGGACGUCCCCUUCGGGGGCAGAGUGACAGGUGGUGCAUGGUUGUCGUCAGCUCGUGUCGUGAGAUGUUGGGUUAAGUCCCGCAACGAGCGCAACCCUUGAUCUUAGUUGCCAGCAUUCAGUUGGGCACUCUAAGGUGACUGCCGGUGACAAACCGGAGGAAGGUUGGGGAUGACGUCAAAUCAUCAUGCCCCUUAUGACCUGGGCUACACACGUGCUACAAUGGACAGAACAAAGGGCAGCGAAACCGCGAGGUUAAGCCAAUCCCACAAAUCUGUUCUCAGUUCGGAUCGCAGUCUGCAACUCGACUG
rnacentral:rRNA from 1 species